rnacentral:rRNA from 1 species
UAGGGUUUGAUUAUGGCUCAGGAUGAACGCUAGCGGCAGGCCUAACACAUGCAAGUCGAGGGGUAACAGAGAGAAGCUUGCUUUUCUGCUGACGACCGGCGCACGGGUGCGUAACGCGUAUACAAUCUGCCUUAUACAGAGGGAUAGCCUUUAGAAAUGAAGAUUAAUACCUUAUAGUCUAUUUUUAUAGCAUUAUAUAAAUAGUAAAGCUUCGGUGGUAUAAGAUGAGUAUGCGUCCUAUUAGUUAGUUGGUAAGGUAACGGCUUACCAAGACAACGAUAGGUAGGGGCCCUGAGAGGGGGAUCCCCCACACUGGUACUGAGACACGGACCAGACUCCUACGGGAGGCAGCAGUGAGGAAUAUUGGACAAUGGAGGCAACUCUGAUCCAGCCAUGCCGCGUGCAGGAUGACGGCCCUAUGGGUUGUAAACUGCUUUUAUAUAGGAAGAAACCUUUUCACGUGUGAGAAGCUGACGGUACUAUAAGAAUAAGGACCGGCUAACUCCGUGCCAGCCGCCGCGGUAAUACA